ensembl:lncRNA
CCUGUCUUUGUCCUCUGCAUUAACGGCAGGUCUCAAAGAUUAGCUAAUCAUUAUAAUGAUAGCCUUAUUAAGUACAAUUACAGAGGCGGAACAGUAGUUAAUGUAUAUUGGCUCACAGUGGGGCCAGGAAGGCUGAGACUCCUGUAAAAAAGCCACUCAUGCAGACACAUUCAAAAAAGAGUGACACUUUAGCUGAUGAUGUCACCAAGGCAAACAAUACAGCGGGAUGAAAUGAAGCUUGUGUUCCAGACAAUGUUGGCCUGUAUCCAUGGCAAAUCACAAGUGGCUUUAACUUUCCCAGACGUGAACAGCAAAGCUGGAAGUCACACAAGCUUACUGACAUCCAGACACAAGACAAAUGAACAGAUGAAUAAAUAAACAUAUGAAGCAAGUGGGAUUAAACACUAAAGUCUACAUUUUUUUUGGAUGGACAGAUCACAGACGUACAGACAUGCAUGGCUGAAACAAAAUACAAAGAGACUCAAUAAAAUGAGCUUGGAUCCUCAUCAACAGCCGGAAUACUUUACAGAGGCCUUCUGCCCAAACUCCCUCCCUCCUCUUCCCAGCUCUCCUCUCUUCCCCUCCCUCUCUUCCUGCUCUUAUCCCCUCAGAGAUAGUGAGAGCCGUCAGAUGUGGUUUGUCCUGACGGCUGACGGAUCGGCCAAAGACACUCGUCUCUGGGCACUCCUCUAUAUAUUGUUAAUUUAAUGCAUGAUGACGUGGCCAAUUAUGGAGUGGCCGCACGCUCAAAUAGCAUGUCAAAACCUGUGUAUCAAUCUAUUAGAUCCUGUCUCCUCAUGGCAUUAGCAGGCACCUUAAAGCAGCUCUGGGGUUCACCGAGGGAGAGAAAGUGCUUAGCUCAUGGGGAUCCUGCCUCAGAUCUCAUCCAGGCCUUUUAGAGAAUAAAAAAAUACAUCCACUAACAAGAACGGCGUGCAGGUGCAUACAUGCCUGCGAGUAUGUUAGGAGCCGUGAACGCUGAAAGGGGCCGAGUGUUUCUGACGCCUGUCGGCCUGGGCCUGUCACAGCGGAUCAGGAAGGUGUCAUCAGCGCAGGGCCGAGCGCCUGAGCCCAUCAGCCAGCCGGACCUGAGCACCUGAUGAGCUGACAGCCAGCGCAGUGUGUUUCUCAGGCCUCCUGGAGAGACACACACACCUCCUGGAGAAACACAUACAGCUCAUCUAAGCCCUAGCUGUCUGUCUGUCUGUCUAACUGCGGGAUUCGCUCAGUGUAAUGCACAUCCGAAGCUAACUAUGGCCCACCAACUGUCUGUCCAUCUGUCUAUCCAGGAGUAUGGGAUUCAACUGCUUCAGAAUGUACAUUUCUGGACAAGUCUGUUUUGGGAAGUGCAUGUUCAUGUACUAUAGACUUAUGUGCUUAAUUUCCAUUCCUGCUGCGUCUUUUAGUAGAGUGCAGAAAGUGCAUUUUUGAAUUUGUAUUACACUGUCAUGUACUUUAUGUUAAACUUAUAUUAACAGAAUUUAACAACUGCCCUUAGACUUCCAUUAUAAAUACAAUAGAACAGCUUUUAAUGUUUCAGUCCAAAGCUGUUCAGUACAAGGAAAUGUGUUUUGUAGUAUUCACAUAUCUGCUACUGUUACUGAAGACAGAGACAAGUUGAAACACAGAAAGAAGUUAAAAAUAUUGGAGUAUUUCUUUAACUAUAAUAUUAAAAAAGCUUGAGGGAACUGCAAUUGACACAACUGCUGAACUGUGUACAAUGCUGAAGCAAAUGUCAUGUACACUACAUAGGGUGACUACUAAUAAUAAUAAUACUAAUCACAAUGGCUAUAGUCCAUUUCUUCAAAAAUCUUCAUUUAAAAAAAAAAAAGAUCACAAAGCUCUUUAAACAUUUCCUGCCCCAUUUGUGUUCUCAAGGGUCUUUGUCAAAACUGACAUUACCCACAAUGCUCAGUGGUGCUGCCUGCUCUGACUGUCUGUAUCAUGCUCAUUUUCUGCCUGAGAAUAAAUAUUAGAAUAAAUCACACCAAAGAGUAGCUGGUCAGUCCUUCUGUUCCCCGUCUGCUCAGGUUGCCACAGUAGUUGACUGACAGAUCAACCGAAAGAGGGGAGUUGGAUUAGACCUGGUGAUGGGGUGAGAAAUCAAGAACUAGGGCCUCUCUUUUUCUCUCUGUCUGUAUUAUUUUAAUUUUUUUUAUCAAAUAAAUUUUGCCCGGGGAGGGAUGAGUGUCACCAUACAGCAAAGACGGAUUGAGAGAGCCGUUCAGAGAUUAUUGAUGCCCACCAAUAAAUCAGAUUUUUAAUUAUCAGACACAUGACAAGAAGCAGUGACAGCGUCCCCCCAGAGUUCACAGUAGAAUACUCUGUCAGCACAGCUCAGAAACAGAAACCACAAAUGACACUGUAUCAGCAGGAAUAGCAGCAUCAUAACAUGUAGCACGCCUUCAGCUCGUCACAUACACAUUCACUGCGUUUUAUUACCACCACUGUUAUUUAUGUCUGAACCAUAGUUUUAUAUUUUCUAUUAAUAUACUAUAUUGUUAUUUUAUUCAAUGCUGCAUAAUAUUGCGUAAUUAAGUCUAUAUAGUCUCUGUGUAGGAUUAUGACCAAUAUGAGCUGAUCAGCCAUAACAUUAAGACCACCUGUCUAAUAUUGUAUAGGUUUCCUUUGUGCUGCCAAAACAGCUCUGACCUGUCGAGGUAUGGACUCCACAGUUCCUCUGAAGGUGUGCUGUGGUAUUUGGCACCAAGACAUUAGCAGCAGAUCCAUUGAGUCCUGUAAGUUGCAAGGUGGGGCCUCCAUGGAUUGGACUUGCUUGUCCAGCACAUCCCAUAGAUGCUUGAUCGGAUUGAAAUCUGGGGAAUUUGAAGGCCAAAUCAACACCUUGAACUCUUUGUCAUGUUCCUCUAACCAUUUCUGAGCAAUAUUUGCAGUUCAGUGUGGCAGGGUGCACAAAAGAGUCCACUGCCAUUAGGGAACACUGUUGUCAUGAAGUGGGGUACAUGGUCUGCAACAAUAUUUAGGUAGGUGGUACGUGUCAUAGUAACAUCCACAUAAAUGCCAGGACCCAAGGUUUCCCAGCAAAACAUUGCCCAGAGCAUCACACUGCCUCUGCUGGCUUGCCUUCUUCCCCAGAAGAAGGUAAAUGACGUUACCAGGUAAGUGAUGCACACGCACCAGGCCAUCCACAUGACGUAAAAGAACAUGUGAGUGAUCAAACUAGGCCACCUUCUUCCAUUGCUCCAUGGUCCAGUUCUGAUGAUCACAUGCCCCUUGUAGGUACUCUCAGUGGUGAACAGGGCUCAACAUGGGCACUCUGACUGGUCUGUGGCUACACAGCCUCAUACACAGCAGGCUGUGUGCACUGUCUGUUCUGACACCUUUCUAUCAUAGCCAGCAUUAACUUCUUCAGCAAUUUAUGCUACAGUAGCUCUUCUGUGAGAUUGGACCAGAUGUUUGCUCUCCACGUGCAUCAAUGAGCCUUGGGCACCCAUAACCCUGUUGCACGUUCACCAGUUGUUCUUCCUUGGACCACUUUUGGGAGGUAUUAUCCAUUGCAUACCGGGAACACCGCACAAGACCUGUUCUGACCCAGUCCUCUAGCCAUCACAAUUUAGCCCUUGUUCAGAUCCUUACGCUUGCCCAUUUUUCCCUGCUUCCAACAAAACAACUUCAAGAACUGACUGUUCACUUGCUGCCUAAUUAUAUCCCUAGAAAGGUGCCAUUGUAACAAGAUAGUCAAUGUUAUUCACUUCACCCGUCAGUGAUUUUAAUUUUAUGACCUUUUUUUUUUUAACAUUGUUUGCCUUUUAUUUGAUACAUGCAAC